rnacentral:lncRNA from 1 species
UCAAACUGGGAAAAAGAAAUUCCAAAGGAAGACACAUCCAUUGGAAAGACUCAAACAGACUCACAGAAUGCGUGUGUUGGGAAUAACACCAACACAGCAAGAAGAGAAAUAACCACAAUUCCGCUGGGGAAAUCUAGUUGAAGAUUAUCCCGGGGAAUCCAAAGGAAUGAGAUGUUACCGGUUAGUGAGUAACAUACUCAGGAA